rfam:Hydrogenophaga sp. T4 contig001949, whole genome shotgun sequence.
CUCGCCGGGUCAGGAGAGAGCUCCCCGAACCGGGAGCCGCCGAAGGCGCAGGCGACCGGAACACGGUCCUGAACGCUCAGGCAAAAGGACUGGCAAGCACCG